rnacentral:lncRNA from 1 species
UGUGAAUUUUGACAUCUUGAUUAAGGGUGAUGCUAGAACUUGCCUUGAUUCUUGGUCGAACCCUGUGUACAUAGUCUAGGUGCGUUGAAUGAUUUAGGCAAAUUCUUUGUUUAGCCCACUGAGCCAAACUGACAAACCCUGAAUCUAUCACUUGCAGCCCCUUUUGAGCUUAAUAAUUCUUUUGAAUUCACUUAUAAAUUUGCCUAGAUUUGAGCCGUCCCGGUCAAAACUGAACUUAAGGGCAAAAGGAAGGGAGAAUAGUGUAAUGGAUCCUAUGGGCAGGACUAGUACAAAGAAAGUGCAAAAUGGGAAAUCUAAAUCCCAAAACAGAGAAAAGUCCAGAAAAAGAAAAAAGAAAUAAAAAAGG